UCCACACAUCUGUGUUGCUGUUUCAUGCUGUUGUAUUAUAUUAUAUAUGGGGAGAAAAUCGCAAGCAUCUCAUGAAAAGUGUUGUGACAUGGAUCUUGAAAGCAACAAUUUCAUUCAUGGGAAAUGUAGCUCCUAUCAAGGUCUCUUUUUAUAGUCCCAGUAGUGAACAUGGCCAACCCCCCGAAAAGCCACUGCCUCUUCCUCAUCUCCCGUAGAAGCCUGCUGGUCUAAUUUAUCAGCUUCCAGAGAGCUUGCAACCUUCAUCUCUGACUCCUCCCUUGCUGAUCUUCUCUGAUGCCAUGUCGCCAGUCUUAAGAAUGUACCAUUAAAAAAAAAGAUAAGUCUUUGUUUAAACAUUUCAGUUUUAAAUAUUUAGUCAAUAUAGCAGUUAACACCAAAGAAGGGAUAACUAUCACUAUGAGAAUGAGUCUUGCUGAGCCUCAUGUACUUCCCUUUCCUCUAGCAUGGUCACAAACAGCAGAUGCUUUUGCUUCCUUUUUUUACUAAACACAGUUUCUCUUUUCAUCAGAACACACAAAAACUGUGGUUAGUUAAAAAAAAAGGAAAGGAAAAGCUUCAGUUCUCCUGUGGUUAGUCAACUGUAAUUUAGCAAAACAAGCCAACUUCAAAGCUUGGCUUAUAACUGGUUAGUUUAGAUAAACUGUAGUGAAGACUAACCACAGUUUAGAGUUCAGAUGCAAUGCUAAUCUGCAGUAAAUCAAAAACUGAAGCACAACCUUCCAAUUACCUCCUCACCACUGGAGGGGAGAAUACAGUAGGGCCCCACUCAUACAGCAGGUUACAUUCCGGACCCCCGCUGUAAAGCGGAACCCAUUGACUAACAUUGACCAAAAUGGUGCCCGACAGCAAAAAAAUGCUGUAAAAGCAGAACAAGCACUGUAAGAGCGGGGCCUUUCUGCAAUUGACAACCACUGCUUUAGCAGAAUGCUGUAAAGCGAAGCGUUGUAAAGCGGGGCCCUACUGUAUGCAAGAAUGAGGCUCACCUACACUCAUUCCUACUGCAAUAAACCAUGCUUCAUUGCUAUGUGCAAACACAGCCAAUAUCCUUCUUCAGAAGAGCACAUAAGCUACCACAAAUUUGUUUAAUGAGUGCCACAUAUCAGACAUUUAAUAAGCAUACACAAUUACAAAAAAAGUUAUUCACACUGAGGAUAAUGUAGUUCAGAGCUACCUGGAUUUUAGACAAGGGUAAAAUAAAAUUACCAUCCCCUCAACACUAUUCACACUAGUAACUAAAGCCCCUGACAUAUCUUGACAGAGUAAUUUGAGCCACUAGCAUCUUGUGUCUUCAGAGGGCAGUACUCACAUGGUCCCACCAGCAUUCACUGAAGUUUGGGAGCUGAUGUUCUAGACUAUACUCCAGAAAUUCAAACAUUACACUGAUAAUCAUGCACAUCCACCAAUCACGAAUCAUUAAUGUCUGAAAAAGUUUUUAAAAAGAAACAGGAAACAGUUAAUCCUACAGAUUAUCCCAAACUUGGGUAUUCAGUAAAGAAACAAGCAUUAUACAGUGUGCUCCAUGAAGGUUCGGAGAAGCCUUACUGAAGUUGCACUCUAGGGUUAAAUAAUAGCAGUAAAGACUUGCAACCAUACUGGAUUACACUAUAGUAGGCUGUACCCCAGAUUUCUGUGCUCCUUUGAAAGUAAGCAGUUCUAGACCUGUGGGCCUGAAGACCUCUCUGAUAAAGCAUGAGCAGCACAGACUGGUAAACGUAUUUCCAAGUAGAAAGAGAGAAUUAUUACUUAGACUCUCGGACACUUUUCAAAAACCUGGGAUGGAUCUCAAGGAUGUUUCCAUUUUGAUCUGAAAGCAUCUUAAGGUACCAUAUAUUCCGGCGUAUAAGACGACUUUUUAACCCCGGAAAAUCUUCUCCAAAGUCGGGGGUCGUCUUAUACGCCGGGUGCUGAAAAAUAGCUGCCGAGCCAGAGGCCAGGCCGGGAUGAUGCGGGCGGGAGGACGGACGGCAGGGCUGAAUCAGAGGGGCCGGGGGGAGGGUCAGCGAGCGGCGUGGAACAUUUCCGAGACACAACAAAGCUGCAGUAGCGGCCAAUGGUCACGGCUUAGAGGGGAAGGGGCGCCUCCAUCCCCUCCCUGCAUAUACCCGAAGGCUGCCCCGAGGGAGCCCGGCCGCUUGGCUCCCUACUGCCCCCAGCUUGCCGAGCGGCAGGGAAGAAGUUGCCGGAGCUCCUUGUUCGGGCCGCCGCCGAGCGAGCGCAGCUGCGUCAGGCCCGGCAUGUGGGGGCUGGAGCUCGGGGGCGGGCGAGAUGGCUGGAGGUCGCUGCUGGAUCCAAGGAAGCCCUUCUGCGCCCAAGUCUGCUUGGCCCCGGGGAGGAGGGCAGGUGCUGGGCGAAGGGCGUGAUCCAGCGGCCGCAGGGAGGGCCCGACUUAGGGUCCCCGGUGAGCCUCCUGGCAAAGCGGCAGGGGGUAUUGGAGCCCCGAUCUCCUGGGUCCUCUCGACGGGGCUACGCGGAGGGCAGGCGGCGGAGGUGCUGCGUUUCAGGCGCCAUUGCAGCGCCGCCGCCGCGUGGGAAGCCGCAGAAGAGACCCUCCCUCAUCCCUCCCCCCCCCGCAAAAAAAAUCAAUUAAACCGGGCGCCGGAGAAAGAAAGGGGAAUAUAUAUAUUAUAUAUCCAUUUGACUUCCUGCCAAACGUGAGUGUAAGGAACUAGAGCUCUCUCCUCCUUGCAACAAGUCUCUCUCUUCCCCCCCCCACUUUCCUUCCUUCAGCGUCCCCCUCCUGUCCAAUCCUUCCUUCUUCCAAUGCCGUUUUGGGUUCAGGAAAAGAUUAGCCAAAGCAGGCCAGUCCGGAGCAAUUCUGCUUCCUCUGGUGAAACUGACUAGACUUGUUAAUUUCAACGGGUCUGCGCCAGGCACGUUUCUUUUAAGCCAUUUGGGGUCGGAGAGGGUGAGUGGGGGGUGACCUUCCUUUUCCCCUCCGUCCUUCCCCCUCCCCAUCUUCUCUUUCUCUCCUUCAUCGGGUGAGCAAAAUAUUAAGUUGGAUCGGUCUCUUUUCUUUCCUUUAACGGGAAAAUGCUUAUGGGGGUUAUCCAACAAUUCAAGUUACUUUUAGAGUAGACUUGAGCCCAUCGGUUUCAAAUGGGGUGUGUGAAUGUUUGUCUCUUCUGAGCCUGACUGGGGCGGCGCUCGUGACCCCGCUUACCUGGGAGUAAGCCCCGUGAAAGUCAAGAGGACUUACUUCCGAGUAGGCAUGGCUGGGGUGACGCGGUCUCCCUCGAAUUAGAGUUGGGAAAUGUGUGAUCAGCUGCGGGCUGGCCUCCAGGAAAAUUCUACUCCAGAGGAGACCCACUGAAACUAACGGAGCCCGGCCGUGCCUGUUGAUUUCAGCAGGCCUACUUUGUGGCCAAGGUUGGGUCCAGUCCUGCUUUUGAUUGCAUGGAGCGCUUAGGCGUUUUUUCCCCAAGGAAAUUCAUGCUCGAAAGAGUUUGCGCCGCCCAGUUCCGCUGCAUCGUUACUCUAAAGUAAGCCCCCCGGGGGCUUCUUCACUCCCAAGCAAAGCCCGGCGGGAAUCGCCUUUAUUCGGAAGUAAAGAAGCCCCCCCCCUCGCCUGCCAAGGUGAACUUUUCGCAUCGACUCAUCCCGUUAGCAGCCCAGCCCUCUGCACGUUUACUCGGAGGUAAGGGGGAUCCCCCGCCCCAGACGCUUAGGAUUUUGCAGCCUACUUGGAAGGAAGCCCCGCUAUGUUCAAGGGCGGUUACUUCCAAGUAAAGGUGUGUGGGAUCGUGGCCGUGAAGCUCUGGGCAAGCUGCUUUUAAUAGCUAAACUUACUUUGAGGCCGGGUGUGUUCCUUGAGCUGUGCAUUCCCCGCCCCCGACUACGGUAAUUUUUAUAAGGAGAUUUGGGGGGGCAGUGUAAAUUCACAGCCCCCCCCUUCCCCACGGAUCUGAUUCAUUGCUGCAGAAACAACACUGGCGUUCAUUUUCUUCUUGGAAAAUUAGAGUAAUGAUCAUUCCCUUCUCUCCUUUUUGAUGCUGUUUCUCAGAAAUCCUAUUCUAUAGAGGGUGGGGUCCUUUCCAGGUCUUCUCCCCUCCCCUCAAAUCUAUAAGCCCCCCCUUUUGUUUUCUCUUCCUUUUAAAAAAAUCUUUUAAAAAUAUAUAUGAAAAAGAUUGUGGUUGGAUAAAGUUUUUUUUUAACUUAGGGGUUUUUUGGGGGGAGAACCCCGACCUCCCCCCUUCUUCCCAGCUUGUGUUGUUUCUCUGGGAUGGGGAAGCAGAUUUUUGUUAAAGGCCUUUGGUGUUUUGAGAAAUGGAAGAGUUCUUUGCAGCUGGCUACAAAUGUUUAGCCAAAAAAAGGGGGAGAUAGGAGGUAUUAUGUAUGUUUUUCUCCCUCCGCCCCCUGAAUGUCCAACACUGUUGCUAGCUGGGGAGGGGUCAUCUCUCUGGUUUUUGCUGGUGAUUGGGCCAUUGUGGUUGGGACAAUGUUCUGUUUGUUUAGCCCUGUUCAGCUAAGAUUGUGGAUGGUGUCCCCACCGCCCAUCAGUGCCUGAAAGCCAUGUUUGUGCAUGAUAGCCCUUUUUUAUUAUUAUUUUUAUUGGGAGAUGCUUCUGCUUGCCUUCCCAAAAUAUGUUGCAUCCCUGUGGAAUAUUUUAAGUCCACCUUCCCCCAAGUGUGCAUUCUCCCUGGCUCAAUUUCUUCUUUCCUUCCCCCUCUCUGUUAGAUCCAGGAAGUGCCCGUCUCCUCUUGAGGCCUACACCAAAUCUUUGCCACCCACUAUAGAUACAUUUUUUUGCAAAUUGAAUGCACCGCAGCUCCCCGAAAUAAGUUAGCAAUUCUUAUUCUGUCCCCUGUGUGUGUGUUUUGGGCUUGGUUAUUUAUUUUUGUCUUCCCCCCCCUUGUUUGUGAAAAGAGAAUUGUUGCAGCUAGUCUGUGCAAGCUAACUUGAUCGCUAAGACCUUGGAAGGCGGCAGGGGAAGCUGCAUCUGUGUGUGUUUAAAUGCAGGGCAUGUGGGCAAAGUCAUGGCAAUUCUGUAUGCUUUUUCUUAAGCUAAGCUGUUUGAAUUUGCAGUGUGGUGGUUCUGUUAGAAUCGGCCUGGAAAUGGAAAUGUUUGGGGCACAGCACCCUCUGCCAACCCAGGGCCCUCUAGAUGUUUUGCACGACCACUCCCAGCCAGCACAGUUGGGAGUUGUAGUCCGAAACAUCUGGUGGGCACCAGGGCAGGGGAGGCUGCGAUGCAGGCUAAAAAGAAGCAAUGGCAAUCAUAGGGACUAGCGUUUGUGCAGUAGACUAUUCCAAAGUUAAAAGGUGCCAGCACAGGCUGAUGUCAUAAUCUCAUUUUUAGGGUGUGGAGCUUAAAAACACCCAACUCAUCCCUGGCACUUGUUUCGCUCUGUACCACCCUGUCCCCUAGCUAGGUUUUGUUUCAUUUUAUGUGGCGCGGUGUAGCGGUUAGGAUGUAUGCCGAGUUUUAUUUUAUGCUAGUGGGGUAUAGUGGUUAGAGAAUUGGAUUAAGACCUGGAAGGCUGGGGUUCAAAUCCCCUGCUUUGUAUACAACAACCAGCCAAUCGCCAGUAAGGUACAUCGCUUGCAUGUCAUAAGCAGGGGUAGUCUUAUACGGCGAGUAUAUCCCAAACUCUAUAUUUUAACUGGAAAAGUUGGGGGUCGUCUUAUACGCCCAGUCGUCUUAUACGCCGGAAUAUACGGUAAUUAAGAGUUAUAGCUUGUCAUUAUAAUGUUCAACAGAAAGCAGCAGAAAUUCACUUUAUAGAUGCAAGGCAGUAAUUUCUUGGAAGAAAUUUUACAUUUGGGCACUAAACAUUUUGUUAGCCAUGGAGAAUUUCAGUUUGAAAUGAGCACCAGAAAUCAUUUCUGGCCUUAACAGCUGCAAGAAAAUACUGAAAACAUGACUGAUGUUUAAGCAGCAUUUAACAAAAUGAAACUGCUCUGACUGCAUAUCACAAGGGAAUGUUUCAACAGCACCAGAAAAUUAAACUGAUUCUUUUCUGCACAAUUGAGCAUGUGUGUGUGUGAGAGAGUGUAAGAUAUGUAACAUAUCUGUCUGUACUGGCUUCAUCGUAGCCUGGAAACAAGCUGUUUUUAUACAGUUUAUAAAGGAUUAAAUAUAUUAAAAGGGGCUUUAAAAACUGUUUUGAUUUUUUUGUAUCAAAAUGUGAGGAACACACAAUAUGUAAAAAAGACUGUCUGUUAACAGAUUGUUAGUCUGGAAGGAAAUGAGAUGACCCAAUAUAGUAAGAAAUAGUUGGACAAACACAGUUUAAACCUUUUCACAGAUGAGUGCCUUACAUAAUUGAUUUUACACACUGGCAAUAUUGAAAGAGAAGCUUCAAAAGCUAACAAUAGCUGAACAAAAAAGGACCAAUUCUUACUUUUAUAUACCAGCCAAGGAAAUGAGCAGGAACAAAUCCAUCUAGUUUGUCCUAUAAUUCAAGGGAAAAAUUGGGUAACACAAAUUAGACCCAUUUAUAACACAAAUGGAGCAUUAGAUUACUAUGGUUGCAGCAUGCACUAUUUCCCAUAAAGUUUAUCACAUGUUUCAGAUAUGAAAGUAAUGUCAUUAAAAACAUUAUUUUAUUGCUUACACCUAAUAUAAACAUGAAAAAAAUCUUCCUACAGUCAUCCAGAAAGGCAGCAAUUCGAAGUCGAAACAAUUUUCCAUGUUAUUUUAAUGGCAUUCUUGGGAAAUCUAGUUUUCCAUCCCAAACUCUGUUACAUUUUGUAACAUAUCAAUUUUGGCAGUAAUGUGCCCUGUAUCUUAGAAUGAUGAAUGCCAUCAAAUCAUGGAAUGUUAAAACUCUAAAUCUGUUUUACUUUACUUUGUGCUAUUGUUUGUUCACCUUCAAAAAACCCAAAACACACUGUAUAACAAGAAAAAAAAGAAUAUUCUAGCUUUGAAUUGCUAAGAUAGACCUCAACUUUAUCAGCAACAGAGAAUGGGUACAGAUUUACAUCAGUACACCUUGAAGGACAAAAAGCAAUUAAUUUAACCUCACUACUGAAGUGUGUAGUUAGGUUACAGAAGAAUGGAUAGCAUGAUCUGGUCAAUAGAGAGGUCAGCUGGUGGUUAUAAGCAGCAUGUGUGUAUGCCUUACCCCCCCCCAAAAAAAAUUCCACACCAAGAACUCCUGAAUCCCAAAAACAGAUUUGUAGAAUUUUGCUUUAUUUUACACAGUUUGUUCUUCUCCUGGCUAACCCUGGAGGAAAGACAAAUAGCUAUACUGGGUGCUGAAACCUCAACCCCCACUGAACACAGGAAACCAUGCUCAGCAACUCCUCUGACUCCCAAUAUUUCAUCCAGGCAUUGCCCAUUCACAUGUAUCUUACCAGCUAAAAGGCUGAAAGCUUUUUUUUAAUGAAACCCGAGAUUCUAAAGAAGCUGAAUUAUGCGCAGAACACACACUAAUGGUUAUGAGGCAGGUGAUGAUGGAUUAUGCACCAAUAACCAAAUACACACAUAAUUGUAUACUGGAUGUUUUUAUGCUGUAAACCGCCCAGAGAGCUUCGGCUAUUGGGCGGUAUAGAAAUAUAAUCAAUAAAUAAUAAAUAAAAUAAAUAAAUAAAUAAUACAAAAACAAAAUUUUAGGACAGUUUCAGCCCUAAAUCAGAUCUUUCCGUUUCAAUCUCUCACCCAAAUAUUGUGAAAGGGAUCUGUCUCAUUGUCUGGAUCAUAGAUAAGGCAAUUUCCACCAUAGUCUCUUUCUGGCAAGGGCACUCCUAAAUUUGGAUCGAUGAAUUUCAUAAACUGUCUUCCAUCGUGUACAGUCUGAGGAAUUGAGCACACAUAUUAGUAAUAAAUAGUCAAAACAAGUUCUAAUAUAACAGAAUAUGAUACAGUUCUUGAAUCAUGAUUUUUGCAUUUCUUAAAAUGACAAUAUAGAUAGAAG